rnacentral:rRNA from 1 species
AGAAUCAACGCUGGCGGCGUGCCUAACACAUGCAAGUCGAACGAGAAAGUGGAGCAAUCCAUGAGUAAAGUGGCGCACGGGUGAGUAACACGUGACUAACCUACCCUUGAGUGGGGGAUAACCUAGAGAAAUCUGGGCUAAUACCGCAUAAUACCUUCGGGUCAAAGGAGCAAUUCGCUUAAGGAGGGGGUCGCGGCCGAUUAGUUAGUUGGCGGGGUAAUGGCCCACCAAGACUAUGAUCGGUAUCCGGCCUGAGAGGGCGCACGGACACACUGGAACUGAAACACGGUCCAGACUCCUACGGGAGGCAGCAGUGGGGAAUUUUGCGCAAUGGGGGAAACCCUGACGCAGCAACGCCGCGUGAGGAUGAAGUCCCUUGGGACGUAAACUCCUUUCGAUCGGGACGAUAAUGACGGUACCGAGAGAAGAAGCCCCGGCUAACUUCGCGCCAGCAGCCGC